UACGUAGGGGGCAAGCGUUGUCCGGAGUUACUGGGCGUAAAGCGCACGCAGGCGGUCUCUUAAGGUUGGAGUGACAGUUGGUGGCUUAACUGCCAAAGUGCUUCGAAAACUGAGAGACUUGAGGGCUUCAGAGGGACACGGAAUUCCGGGUGGAGUGGUGAAAUGCGUAGAGAUCCGGAGGAACACCAAAGGCGAAGGCAGUGUCCUGGGGAGUACCUGACGCUCAGGUGCGAAAGCCAGGGGAGCGAACGGG
rnacentral:rRNA from 1 species